GCUGUGAUGGCCGAGUGAUUAAGGCGUAGGAUUUGAGAUCCAAUGGGGUUCCCCCAUGCAGGGUCGAACCCUGCUCACAGUG